CACGUAGUUAGCCGGUGCUUAUUCUUACGGUACCGUCAUGACCCGGGGAUAUUAGCCCCAGGCUUUUCGUUCCGUACAAAAGCAGUUUACAACCCGAGGGCCCUCAUCCUGCACGCGGCAUUGCUGGAUCAGGCUUUCGCCCAUUGUCCAAAAUUCCCCACUGCUGCCUCCCGUAGGAGUCUGGGCCGUGUCUCAGUCCCAGUGUGGCUGGUCGUCCUCUCAGACCAGCUACAGAUCGCAGGCUUGGUAAGCCUUUACCCCACCAACUACCUAAUCUGCCAUCAGCCGCUCUAGUAGCACAAGGCCCAAAGGUCCCCUGCUUUCAUCCGUAGAUCUCAUGCGGUAUUAGCUACUCUUUCGAGUAGUUAUCCCCCACUACUAGGCACGUUCCGAUGUAUUACUCACCCGUUCGCCACUCGUCAGCAUCCGAAGACCUGUUACCGUUCGACCUGCAUGUGUAAAGCAUGCCGCCAGCGUUCAAUCUGAGCCAGGAUCAAACU
rnacentral:rRNA from 1 species